rnacentral:rRNA from 1 species
UACGGGGGGGGCGAGCGUUGUUCGGAAUUAUUGGGCGUAAAGGGCGCGUAGGCGGUGCGGUAAGUCUGAUGUGAAACCUCCAGGCUCAACUUGGAGCUUGCAUCAGAAACUGCCGUGCUAGAGUGUGGGAGAGGAAAGUGGAAUUCCCGGUGUAGCGGUGAAAUGCGUAGAUAUCGGGAGGAACAUCGGUGGCGAAGGCGGCUUUCUGGACCACAACUGACGCUGAGGCGCGAAAGCCAGGGGAGCAAACAGG